rnacentral:rRNA from 1 species
AUUGGGCGUAAAGGGUGUGUAGGGGGUCUGGUUAGUCCCGUUUUAAAAACUUCGGCUUAACCGAGGAGAUGGGCGGGAAACGGCCAGACUUGGAGGAUGCCAGAGGCAAGCGGAACUCACGGUGUAGGGGUGAAAUCCGUUGAUAUCGUGGGGAACACCAAAGGCGAAGGCAGCUUGCUGGGGCAUUCCUGACCCUGAAACACGAAAGCGUGGGGAUCAAAAAGGAUUAACAAUGCCGUAAGGGUAAUUGAGCACAUCGCGUGCUUGAUGCGGCACUAGUCCCUUAGUUAGAUUAGAAAGGAGUAAUCUCAUGAAUGCGAAAGAACUAAGAAAAAGUUGUGUUGAAUCUUUAAGAAACGCCAAGACUCUUGAUCUCGAUCCAUUAAAGAUGGGAGAGAGUUUUAUACUGAAAGGCGUUAUCUUUACGGAAGCUGAGUGGAAAUAUCUGCUUGAGCUUCUGCGAACAGAAGUUAAUCUGCUAGACAGAGACAACGAAAAAAGAUUACUUAAUAAAUCUGGCUGAGAAAACUUGUCCCACAAAAUAACGGAGCGCAAGCGAAGUAUAUUUUGUGAGGAUCCCGUCGAGGCGAGAGCCGAGGCGGGAGCUAUAUGUUCUGGAACAGCCGGAGUAUCCGGCACUACCACAAGAAAGGAGAAAGAAUAUGGAAUCGCAUAUAUUAAUGGUUCAUAACGGUUGGACUGUUAAGUAUUUUCACUUCGAAGAAUGUGAUAAUCCUAGCGCUAUCCAAAAAGCACAGGAUAUCAUAGAGACAGAAAAAUACUCGAACGCUCAACUUUUUAAAGUAGAGCACAUUUUUCGAGUAAGGAAUCCCUAAACGUGGUGAAAAAGUGCCCGGUGGCGCGGAGUAAAUCCGCUACCGGCCAACCAGCAGGGAAGUCGCCUUAGGCGACCCCUCAACGACUAUACGCCGAGAGGUUAAUAAAAGAUGGGCGGUGAGAAUUAAAAACUCUCCCGCCCGUCAUGUUUAAUCUAUGAUAUAGUCUGAACUCUGCAGCGAUGCAGAGAGGUAAGUAGAAAUAACUUAUCCGUCCCGCAGUUGCGGGAUAGUAACAAAAUUGUAGAUACCCUUGUAGUCCACGCCCUAAACGAUGAUGACUAGCUAUUGGAAGUAUCGACCCUUCGAGUGGCGAAGCUAACGCGUUAAGUCAUCCGCCUGGGAAGUACGAUCGCAAGAUUAAAACUCAAA